UCCUUAGUGCCAACAUGCUGGCUGG
rnacentral:piRNA from 1 species